GCCCUCAUGGGUCGAUAGUUAAACAACAACAUAUCAACAUAUCAUAAAGCAAGCCAGAAACUUCCAGCACAAGUUACAGAUUAAAUCUAGGGCUUUCUUACCCUUAACGGCCUCGACAAUGUCUACGACUGCUCCGGUGACAGUGGCUAACGUCAUGUGACUCGUGUUGGAAACCUCUGGCAACACACGGCGGUGGUGGUGGUGAUGAACGACAAAGAUCUCUCCUUUCUGACAAGUUCCUCGAU